rnacentral:rRNA from 1 species
UCAAAUUUGUAAUCUGGCGUCCUUCGGGCGUCCGAGUUGUAAUCUAUAGAAGUGUUUUCCGUGCCGGACCAUGUCCAAGUCCCUUGGAACAGGGUAUCAAAGAGGGUGACAAUCCCGUACUUGACAUGACCACCGGUGCUCUGUGAUACACUUUCUACGAGUCGAGUUGUUUGGGAAUGCAGCUCAAAAUGGGUGGUAAAUUCCAUCUAAAGCUAAAUAUUGGCGAGAGACCGAUAGCGAACAAGUACCGUGAGGGAAAGAUGAAAAGCACUUUGGAAAGAGAGUUAAACAGUACGUGAAAUUGUUGAAAGGGAAACGAUUGAAGUCAGUCGUGUUCUUUGGACUCAGCCGGUUCUUCCGGUCUAUUUCCUUUGAACGGGUCAACAUCAGUUUUGUCCGGUGGAUAAAGGCAGGAAGAAAGUGGCUCCCUCGGGAGUGUUAUAGCUUUCUGUCACAUACACUGGAGGAGACUGAGGACUGCAGCUCGCCUUUUGGCCGGGGUUCGCCCACGUUCGAGCUUAGGAUGUUGACAU